rnacentral:sRNA from 2 species
CAUAUCUCCAAAGGGGAGUAGCGUCCAAGAAUCUAUUCUUGGAAACAAAGUCGUCAUUACGUAGAACUCUGUUCUUCCGGCUUUGUUGGCAUUUUCAUUACAUAUGUCUAGCAAGACCUUUGCCUAUCAACGGCAUAGGUCUUUUUUGUUUUUUCCAGUCUAUCCCACCGUUGAU